rnacentral:rRNA from 1 species
AUGAUGCUCCAGCUGUUGGGCGUUCGUGACGGUUGCGACGAUCGAGACCCUGAACUGGAUCAGGACGGGGAAGCUGGUGUCCCUCUCGGAGCAGCAGCUGGUGGACUGCGACCAGUACGACGGUGGGUGCAACCGCGGCUCCUACAACAGGGCCUUCAAGUGGAUUGUGGAGAAUGGUGGCCUCACCACGGAGGCGGAGUACCCAUACACGGCGGUGAGGGGCGCCUGCAACCGCGCCAAGUCCGCCCACCACGUCGUCCAGAUCAGCGGAAGCGGUGUGAUUCCGCCCAGGAACGAGCCCGAAAUGCAGCGCGCCGUUGCCGGGCAGCCCAUUGGCGUGGCCAUCGAGGUCGGCAGCGGCAUGCAGUUCUACAGGAGCGGCGUUUACUCGGGCCCUUGCGGGACAGCGCUCGCUCACGCCGUCACCGUCGUCGGCUACGGUGUCGACGCAGGGGUCAAGUACUGGAUCGUGAAGAACUCGUGGGGGCAGACAUGGGGUGA